CUUCUGAAUACGGCUCAUCUGACUUGUGAAUAGUUCUAAUUGUCAUCACCAAUCAUCCAGACUUUUGUCUUGAUGCUGGACUUUGAUAACUACAAGAGAGAGGGAGACUGGACUUCCUACAAUUCUGUGUCAUCUUAAUCCAAUUCAUCCAGAAGUCAAAAGCUCUAGGAAGUAGGUGCUUCUAUCAUCCCCAAUUUACAACUGAGGAAACAAGCCAAGAGCAGCAAUUGCUUAACCCAGUAGACACCUGA
rnacentral:lncRNA from 1 species